rnacentral:tRNA from 1 species
GGGAUGUGGCUCAGUGGUAGAGUACUUGCCUAAUAUGCGCAAGGCCCUGGGUUCAAUCCCCAGCACACA